rnacentral:tRNA from 1 species
GGGGUCGUAGUUUAGCUUGGCAGAAUGCGCGGCUGGGGGCCGUGUGGUCGGGGGUUCGAAUCCUCCCGACCCCA